rnacentral:rRNA from 1 species
UACGUAGGGGGCAAGCGUUGUCCGGAUUUAUUGGGCGUAAAGAGCGUGUAGGCGGCCAGGUAGGUCUGCUGUGAAAACUCGAGGCUCAACCUCGAGACGUCGGCGGAAACCAUCUGGCUAGAGUCCGGAAGAGGAGAGUGGAAUUCCUGGUGUAGCGGUGAAAUGCGCAGAUAUCAGGAAGAACACCCGUGGCGAAGGCGGCUCUCUGGGACGGUACUGACGCUGAGACGCGAAGGCGUGGGGAGCGAACAGG